rnacentral:rRNA from 1 species
AUGCCUCCGCGCCGCUCUAAGGGAGGGGCCGGGGGCAAACCCGACGCCGAGCCCGUAGACGAAACCGUGGAGACCGCGGUCGACGCCAUGUCCGAAGACGAGGCCGACGACGACAACUCCAAGGAGGAGUCCGCUGAGAGCGGAGCUGAGGAUACGGACGGCGAGGACUCCAAGGAGGAAACCGCCGAGACCAAGGCCGAGGAGAUGGAUGCGGAGCAUCAAGAGGAAGCCGCCGAGACCAAGGCCGAGGAGACGGUCGCCGAACCUGAAGCCAAUGGUGCAGAUGCGGAGACCAAAGUCGAGGCGGCGGAGGCCAAGGUCGAAGCGGAAGCCGCCGAGAGCGACUCUGAGCGCGAGGCGGAUGCCGGGGAAGCCGAUCCAGAAGCGGAAGCAGAGGAAACCGACGGCGAGAAUGACAAGCAAGCCGCUCGGGCCGACGGCGAGAGUGGAGAGGAAGCUGCUGGGUCUGGUGGCGAGGAUGAAGAAGAAGCCGCCGGCACAGACGGCGACAACGCCGCUGAGGUUGGUGGCGAGAAAGUAGAUGCGGAUUCUGAAGCCGAAGGUGAGGGUACUGACGCCGAGCCUGAUGCUCGGGAGGAAUCUCCUCCUCCCUCCCCUCCAGCCCGCAGCCGCCGCCGCAAGCGAGUGGUCAAACCCGACCCGCCUACUGAGGAUGACGAGGAAGAGGAGACCCCUCUGCCUCCACGUCGGCGCCGACGUCGCAAAGCAGGAGAACGUGGUGACUCUCCACCGCCACUGCCGGACAACCUCCGGUGCCGCAGAAGUGAUGGUAAGAAGUGGCGCUGCUCAGCUCGUGCACUCCCCACUGUCAGCUUUUGCGAGUACCACUAUGCCAAGGCUAGCAAGGGCAAGAAACCACCAGCCGAUGGGGAGGUCCUUGCCGUGGCCCUCCAACGGCAAAAGAAGAACAAGAGAAAGGGAAGAAGGCGCUUAAAUCUGGCGCCAGAAUCACCAAAGGCCACAAGGGAUCUCCCGAAUGGAUUGAUGACAAUCUCACCGGGGAGCAGUGGGGCGGUAGGCUCUCCUGUGACAACAAAGGUUGGAGUGGAUAUUCCCGCACCACUUCGGCGGUGCUACCGUUCCAAGAAUGCUGAGCCAGUGCCUGUUGGCCCUGUGAAGGUCGUUCCUCAUGCAAUGAGUAAAGCAAAGGCAGCACAGAUGUCAUGCCACCGUUGUGGGUUGAAGAAGGUUGCACGUGUUGUCAAGUGCAAGAACUGUGAAAACAAGUACUUCUGCAACAGCUGCAUCAAUAAAUGGUAUUCUGGGAUGUCCAGGAAUGAUAUAAAGAUAAAAUGCCCGGUUUGCCGUGGCUGCUGUGAUUGCAAAAAGUGCACCCUUGGUCAGACCAAGGGAGGUAUGCGGAAGGAAUCACCAGCUGGUCAAGGGAAACUAAUCAGGAUCAAAAUCUGCAAUCACCAAUUUUACAAGCUUUUACCGUUGAAACUUGACCAGGAACAGCUUGAUGAAUUGGAAAUAGAAGCUAAAAUACAAGGAACAAAGUUAUCCAAUAUCCGUGUCCAGGUAGCUGAAGACGACCAGAGCGGGUCACUGUACUGUAAUAACUGUAAGCUGUCCGCGCACCAAGUCUUGAGAAGUUGCCCAAGAUGCCCCUUUAAGCUGUGCCUAAGUUGCUGUCAGAAGAUACGUGAAGGGAAUAUGUCAGGCAGCACCCCUGAAGAUAAAUUUACACAACGACUGUUGCAGCAAGAGUCAGCCCAUGAGGAUGGCAGCAUAAGUUGCCCCUCCAUUGAGUUGGGUGGCUGUGGCGACUCUCUGCUAAACUUGAUAUAUACAACCCCGUCCGACGACCAGUCGGAGGAACUCAGUUCAGGAGACGAGCUAGGUGCUCCAGGCAAUGACUCUGGAGUUAAAGAUGCACAAGCUCAUUCCUCGCCUUUAGCUGAGAGUAAUGGCAGCCUUGCCAGAUUAUCCGGUGGUCAGCAGGAAUCCAUGUCCACAUAA